AAUAGAUUCUGAAACCAUUUACUUACAAGUAGUCAGAGCACGUUAAAGUGUGAUGGCGUACAUCUUGCAGUAUGGGCCGGCGAGUUAUGUUAAUAUGCAAGGUUAAGCAGAAAAAAGCGGAGCCGUAGGGAAACCGAGUCUGAAUAGGGCGACUUUAGUAUAUUGGCAUAUACCCGAAACCAGGUGAUCUAUCCAUGAGCAGGUUGAAGCUUAGGUAAAACUAAGUGGAGGACCGAACCGUAGUACGCUAAAAAGUGCCCGGAUGACUUGUGGAUAGCGGUGAAAUUCCAAUCGAACCUGGAGAUAGCUGGUUCUCUUCGAAAUAGCUUUAGGGCUAGCGUAUAGUAUUGUUUAAUGGGGGUAGAGCACUGAAUGUGGAAUGGCGGCAUCUAGCUGUACUGACUAUAAUCAAACUCCGAAUACCAUUAAAAUUAAGCUAUGCAGUCGGAACGUGGGUGAUAACGUCCACGCUCGCGAGGGAAACAACCCAGAUCGUCAGCUAAGGUCCCAAAAUUGUGUUAAGUGAGAAAGGUUGUGAGAUUUCAUAAACAACUAGGAAGUUGGCUUAGAAGCAGCCACCUUUUAAAGAGUGCGUAAUUGCUCACUAGUCAAGAGAUCUUGCGCCAAUAAUGUAACGGGACUCAAACACAAUACCGAAGCUACGGGCACAUUAUGUGCGUUAGGAGAGCGUUUUAAUUUCGUUGAAGUCAGACCGUGAGGACUGGUGGAGAGAUUAAAAGUGAGAAUGCCGGCAUGAGUAACGAUUCGAAGUGAGAAUCUUCGACGCCUAUUGGGAAAGGUUUCCUGGGCAAGGUUCGUCCACCCAGGGUUAGUCGGGUCCUAAGAUCAGGCUGAAAAGCGUAGUCGAUGGAUAACAGGUUAAUAUUCCUGUACUUGGUAAAAGAAUGAUGGAGUGACGAAAAAGGAUAGUUCUACCACUUACUGGAUUGUGGGGUAAGCAACAAGAGAGUUAUAUAGGCAAAUCCGUAUAGCAUAAUCUUGAGUUGUGAUGCAUAGUGAAGACUUCGGUCGAGUAACGAAUUGAAUGAUUUCAUGUUUCCAAGAAAAGCUUCUAGUGUUAAUUUUUUAUCAACCUGUACCGAGAACGAACACACGUUCCCAAGAUGAGUAUUCUAAGGCGAGCGAGAAAACCAAUGUUAAGGAACUCUGCAAAAUAACCCCGUAAGUUCGCGAGAAGGGGCGCCUAUUUUUAAUAGGCCACAGAAAAUAGGGGGGGC
rnacentral:rRNA from 1 species